rnacentral:rRNA from 1 species
UACGUAGGUGGCAAGCGUUGUCCGGAUUUAUUGGGCGUAAAGAGCGCGCAGGCGGUUGGAUAAGUCGAAUGUGAAAGCCCCCGGCUUAACUGGGGAGGGUCAUUCGAUACUGUUCAACUUGAAGGCAGGAGAGGGCAGCAGAAUUCCCGGUGUAGUGGUGAAAUGCGUAGAUAUCGGGAGGAAUACCAGUGGCGAAGGCGGCUGCCUGGCCUGUUCUUGACGCUGAGGCGCGAAAGCUGGGGGAGCAAACGGG